rnacentral:rRNA from 1 species
GAUGAACGCUGGCGGCGUGCCUAAUACAUGCAAGUCGAGCGAACAGAUAAGGAGCUUGCUCCUUUGACGUUAGCGGCGGACGGGUGAGUAACACGUGGAUAACCUACCUAUAAGACUGGGAUAACUUCGGGAAACCGGAGCUAAUACCGGAUAACAUAUUGAACCGCAUGGUUCAAUAGUGAAAGGCGGCUUUGCUGUCACUUAUAGAUGGAUCCGCGCCGUAUUAGCUAGUUGGUAAGGUAACGGCUUACCAAGGCAACGAUACGUAGCCGACCUGAGAGGGUGAUCGGCCACACUGGAACUGAGACACGGUCCAGACUCCUACGGGAGGCAGCAGUAGGGAAUAUUCCGCAAUGGGCGAAAGCCUGACGGAGCAACGCCGCGUGAGUGAUGAAGGUCUUCGGAUCGUAAAACUCUGUUAUCAGGGAAGAACAAAUGUGUAAGUAACUGUGCACAUCUUGACGGUACCUGAUCAGAAAGCCACGGCUAACUACGUG